rnacentral:rRNA from 1 species
GCAAUUAUACCGUGAAACUGCGAAUGGCUCAUUAAAUCAGUUAUCGUUUAUUUGAUAGUACCUUACUACUUGGAUAACCGUGGUAAUUCUAGAGCUAAUACAUGCUGAAAACCCCGACUUCGGGAGGGGUGUAUUUAUUAGAUUAAAAACCAAUGCCCUUCGGGGCUCCUUGGUGAUUCAUGAUAACUUCUCAGAUCGCACAGCCUUGCGCUGGCGACGGUUCAUUCAAAUUUCUGCCCUAUCAACUUUCGAUGGUAAGGUAUUGGCUUACCAUGGUUUCAACGGGUAACGGGGAAUUAGGGUUCGAUUCCGGAGAGGGAGCCUGAGAAACGGCUACCACAUCCAAGGAAGGCAGCAGGCGCGCAAAUUACCCAAUCCCGACACGGGGAGGUAGUGACAAUAAAUACUGAUACAGGGCUCUUUUGGGUCUUGUAAUUGGAAUGAGUACAAUUUAAACCUCUUAACGAGGAACAAUUGGAGGGCAAGUCUGGUGCCAGCAGCCGCGGUAAUUCCAGCUCCAAUAGCGUAUAUUAAAGUUGUUGCAGUUAAAAAGCUCGUAGUUGAAUCUUUGGCCUGGCUGGCAGGUCCGCCUCACCGCGUGCACUUGUCCGGCCGGGCCUUUUCUUCUAGAGAACCGCAUGCCCUUCACUGGGUGUGUUGGGGACUAGGACUUUUACUUUGAAAAAAUUAGAGUGUUCAAAGCAGGCCUUUGCUCGAAUACGUUAGCAUGGAAUAAUAGAAUAGGACGCGCGGUCCUAUUUUGUUGGUUUUCAGGACCGCCGUAAUGAUUAAUAGGGACAGUCGGGGGCAUCAGUAUUCAAUUGUCAGAGGUGAAAUUCUUGGAUUUAUUGAAGACUAACUACUGCGAAAGCAUUUGCCAAGGAUGUUUUCAUUAAUCAGUGAACGAAAGUUAGGGGAUCGAAGACGAUCAGAUACCGUCGUAGUCUUAACCAUAAACUAUGCCGACUAGGGAUCGGGCGGUGUUAUUAUUUUGACCCGCUCGGCACCUUACGAGAAAUCAAAG